rnacentral:rRNA from 1 species
GACGAACGCUGGCGGCGUGCUUAAUACAUGCAAGUCGAACGGAAAGGCCCUGCUUUUGUGGGGUGCUCGAGUGGCGAACGGGUGAGUAACACGUGAGUAACCUGCCCUUGAUUUUGGGAUAACUUUAGGAAAAUGGGGCUAAUAUCGGAUAGGACCUUCUGCUGCAUGGUGGGGGUUGGAAAGAUUGGGCGGUUGGGGAUGGGCACGCGGCUUAUCAGCUUGUUGGGGGGGAGGUGGCUUACCAAGGCAUUGACGGGUCGCUGGACUGAGAGAGUGACCGGCCACAUUGGGACUGAGAUACGGCCGAGACUCCUACGGGAGGCAGCAGUGGGGAAUAUUGCACAAUGGGCGGAAGCCUGAUGCAGCAACGCCGCGUGCGGGAUGACGGCCUUCGGAGUGUAGACCGCUUUCGCCUGUGACGAAGCGUGAGUGACGGUAAUGGGUAAAGAAGCACCGGCUAACUACGUG